UACGGAGGGGGCUAGCGUUGUUCGGAAUUACUGGGCGUAAAGCGCACGUAGGCGGCUUUGUAAGUUAGAGGUGAAAGCCUGGAGCUCAACUCCAGAAUUGCCUUUAAGACUGCAUCGCUUGAAUCCAGGAGAGGUGAGUGGAAUUCCGAGUGUAGAGGUGAAAUUCGUAGAUAUUCGGAGGAACACCAGUGGCGAAGGCGGCUCACUGGACUGGUAUUGACGCUGAGGUGCGAAAGCGUGGGGAGCAAACAGG
rnacentral:rRNA from 1 species